rnacentral:rRNA from 1 species
CCUACGGGGGGCAGCAGUGGGGGAUAUUGGACAAUGGGGGAAACCCUGAUCCAGCGACGCCGCGUGAGUGAAGAAGUAUUUCGGUAUGUAAAGCUCUGUCAGCAGGGAAGAAAGAAAUGACGGUACCUGACCAAGAAGCCCCGGCUAACUACGUGCCAGCAGCCGCGGUAAUACGUAGGGGGCAAGCGUUAUCCGGAAUUACUGGGUGUAAAGGGAGCGUAGACGGCAGCGCAAGUCUGGAGUGAAAUGCCGGGGCCCAACCCCGGAACUGCUCUGGAAACUGUGAAGCUGGAGUGCAGGAGAGGUAAGCGGAAUUCCUGGUGUAGCGGUGAAAUGCGUAGAUAUCAGGAGGAACACCGGCGGCGAAGGCGGCUUACUGGACUGUAACUGACGUUGAGGCUCGAAGGCGUGGGGAGCAAACAGGAUUAGAUACCCGUGUAGUC